rnacentral:lncRNA from 1 species
AUGGGAUUGCGUUUCAUUGCAUUCUAAUUCAUACUAGAACAUACCGUGCUAUAUUGCAUUGUAAGCUAGCAUCUGGCAAUACAUUCACUGGGAGGCCUGGGUGUGCGGCAUGUGCGGUCCCUGCGCUAACAUGUGCUUCAGUCAGUUGCGUCAUUAUGUAAGGGGCUUGCAGUAUCCUCCCCACUCGGGAGCAUCCCGGGAGCAGCGGCGGGGCCCUUUCUGCGGACACCAGAGCACUCGGCCAAGGCAGCCGCGUCAGCGCGCGACCGGGCAUGUUGCUAACGUGGCACUGGGAGGCCAAGGAUAACAAACUCUGAGCUUUGUGAAAGUACCUGAAAGGAAUGCACUGCUUAGAGCCAGCUACCAAGGUGGAUUGGUUCAUGGAUGAGGAU